GGGCUUUAAAUAGCCAACAUAAACCACAUAAUCUGCAUAAUUUAAAAUUUAAACAACCUAAAAUAUCUCAACAACAUAAACAAACUAACUAAAAUUCAAAAUUCAAAUUUAUUCAAACUAAAUAACUUAUUUUGCUAAAAGUUACUGCAGUAACUAAAAGCAAACUUCAACACUCCUCCUUUGCUUUAGUUACUGCAAUUGAAAAAAAUGCUCCUCCUCAAUUUUUGUUUUGGUAGUUGAUGCUGGAUUUUUACAUUGUUUUUGAACUUGCAAAAUUUCUUAUUUUUUCUUUUUCUUCUUUUGACUUUGUUCUUCAAAAACACAUGCGAUGACAUUGUCUUGUGUAGAAGUUUUUUUGAAAGUGCUUUAAUCUGAACUUUUGUAUGAUUUGCAGAGAGAGGUUGUAAGGAUUUUUCUUCCAUCACAACCUCACAUAUCACAUAUGUUUCAAAAUAUGGUUUUAUUCUCACAGACCAAAUUUGAUAGUUUUCGUCUGUAAAAAUUUGUGGGGCAUUCAAAGAGAGACUGUUGCUGGCCAUUAUUUUGGUUAAAAAUGAUUUAGAAAAGCCUGUUCGUUGAAAAAAGCACCGGUUGAAAAGGUAGCCUUGAUGAGUUAAAAUGGGUAGCCCUUACGGGUUAAAAAUGUAUGGUAGUUCUUUGGAAGAUUUCACAGAUCCCUUAAAAUCAAUGAAGCUCUUGAUACCAUUGUUGGUGUAUUUUUAAAAAUGGGGCAGCACAAAAAGAUUAAAAAUGUCUCUCAAUGGAUUGAAAUGACUUUCAAUAAUUUUAUUAAACAUUGAGGGGCUUUAAAUAGUCAACAUAAAACACAUAAUCUGCAUAAUUUAAAAUUUAAACAACCUAAAAUAUCUCAACAACAUAAACAAACUAACUAAAAUUCAAAAUUUUAUUUUGGUUAAAAAUGAUUUAGAAAAGCCUGUUCGUUGAAAAAAGCACCGGUUGAAAAGGUAGCCUUGAUGAGUUAAAAUGGGUAGCCCUUACGGGUUAAAAAUGUAUGGUAGUUCUUUGGAAGAUUUCACAGAUCCCUUAAGAUCAAUGAAGCUCUUGAUACCACUGUUGGUGUUUUUUAAAAA
rnacentral:lncRNA from 1 species